AUCCAGCUGAUGAGUCCCGAAUAGGACGAAACGCACGUCCUCGAU
rnacentral:hammerhead_ribozyme from 1 species